AUCCUCAUCACACACAAACUGAAAACAUAACGUGAAAACAUAACAUUCAUUGGUUAGAGAGUGGUCUCAUAUUACUUUUAUUUGUAUCCCCUGUAAAUGGUUCUGUGCUUUGUACCAGAUUGUAACCAUUUAUACGAUCAGCACACAUGCAUUUUAUUGUUUUCUGACCUCUGUAAUCGAGAGACAAUGCUGGAGCCAUGUGAUAAGUGACAACACUGGGGUCUGCAGCUGCCAAUUUCCGUUGGGAAAGAGAAAUGGCCCUGUAUUUACCUGAAAAGGUAGCUCAUCCACCAUGGCAGAAGACAAAUAUCCAGAUUAUUGAUUGGGAAGAACAAACAAUGAGACAUAAGGAUUGGGUGUUGAGGGAACACUUUGUCCAAGUCCAACAGGAGUGCAUCCUUCAGACCAUCCAGUGCAUGGACAUCCUGUGCUAGUGUGAUCCGAGCACGAGCAUCCAGUUUUGGAGAGACUACAGCACAUCGAGCCUGUGGGCUGAAAGGACUGAUGGUACCUGCAACUGAUGGUUAUGGUGCUUUCAAGACUGGGAACUCGGAUAAAACUAGGUCAAAUCACGACGUUGGUGAACUUCAGGUCCGGAAAGUUGGAGCUCUAGAAAGAUGCCAGAGUUUCCGAGUUGGAUGACUGUUCAAAACUAUUUUUCCCAGUCGGAUCUCGUUUUUUUUUUCGAGGUCCCAGUUGUCUUGAACGCAGUGGAGUCAGAACACUGAAUUCGUCUCAGCUGGGGGAGAGAGAGAGCAGCAGAUUGUCCGCCUCUCAAGGUCCCUGCUCUCCCAUUCCUUUCCUCCGGUGAGACUGACCAGAGCGAGGGGACAGUCUUCCAUCUGAUGGCAAAACUCCAGUUGAAACGCAUCUGCCUCAUGCACAAAUGCAUGUUGUUCCUAUGACCAGAGAAAGUAAAAUAGAACAGGGCAGCACGGCUGACCCUUAAAUGCACAUUUCAUUUAUUUUGACCUUUAUUUAACUAGGCAAGUCGGUUAAGAACAAAUUCUUAUUUACAAUGAUGGCCUACAUGGGGAGCUAACAAUGAUAUGCAUGUACAUCUCUCAUGGCUCAAAGUGGAGGAGAGAUUGACUUCAUCACUACUUUUUUUGUCAAAGGUGUUGACAUGCUGAAUGCACCGAGCUGUCUGUUUUAACUACUAGCACACAGAAAUGGAAACCUAUACAUACCCCACAAGACAUGCCACCAGAGGUCUCUUCACAAUCCCAAAGUCCAGAACAGACUAUGGGAGGCAGUACUACAAAUAGAGCCAUGACUAUAUGGAACUCCAUUCCACAUCAGGUAACUGAUGCAAGCAGUAGAAUCAGAUUUGAAAACCCCCGAUAAAAAUACACCUUAUGGAACAGGGGGGACUUUGAAGAGACACACAGGUACAGGCACACACAUACGCACACAAACGCUAGCACUCUACCCACACGUACAUUGAAACAACGUUGUAUGGUGGUAUUAUACGUUUUGUAUUGUAGAUAUGUAGUGGUGUAAUAAUGUUAUGAUGCACUGUUUUAUCUUUUGUUUUAUAUUUAAUGUAAGUGCCUUAAUGUGUUGGCAGGAACUAAUGGGGAUCCCUAAUAAAUACAAAUAUUCCUCGGCAUUAAAAUAGACCAAACGAGGUGCUAACAAUAAUUAAAACACAGGGCUAUCGAUACACUUGGCUACUAAUUAAUUGCAGCUGCAGCGCGAUUAGAAGUAGAGAGAAGCCAUUUUAUGUUUUGUAAUAGUGGUGACAGUGCUGAAUAAAGGUUUGACAUGAACGCACUUAUAAAAACAGCAGCUCUUUGACAGUCUCCCUCUGGUCAUAGUUUAAAAAGUUAUUAAAUCUCAUGUAUGCUAAUAACGUAAACUCACCCCAUUCCGUACAAAUGUGUGCAACCGCAACAUUCAAACGAGGCUACAAAGAAAACUGAUGGGAGUGUCAGCUGAUGGGACUGUGUUGACUUCAAAAUCGGGGGUGUGAACUAGGUUUCUAUUCAAGCGCUGAUCGACAUGGUAAUGACUCUAUAGUAUUUGAGAAAAGUUGAAAAAACGGACCCUCCGUUACAUCGUGACGUGUCAUAAAGCAUAAGGCAACAAUCUUUCUCCACCAGGUGUAGCACUUCUCUCGUCGUUUAAAAACAAGAAAUGGACAGUGACGGUGGUAAGGGGGGAUACCUAGUCAUUUUUUGCUUCAUCAUUGCAUGCGAUCAUCGUUCUCAAAGCCGCUGUUUACUUCUAAGAUCACUUUAGCACCGCCCUAAAAACCUGAUUCAAGUUCGACGCAAACCUUCAAAUAGGUAUGUAAUGACACAUUAUAUAAACUCUUUAUAGUGUUUUAUUUACAUUUUAGAGGCGAUAAGUUGGACAGAUCGAGUUUUUAAAAAGACCCGACGGGGCUCUUUGCCUGCUUGAAUUAUGCAGAAACGGGCAGCGUUUAGGUCAUGUAAUUGAUUCUGUAGGAAAGGGGCGAAAUUGUGCUUUACAAUGGUAUUGACAUUACAGUUGAUCUGGAAGUAUUACGUUUUUGGGGCGCUAAAAUAAGGGCAAUUGUACGGACCAAGGCGAUGUACGAGUUUACGUGAGUUUACGUUAUCAAACAAUGCUGUAGCCGGGGUCGUGGAAGCUGUAGGUAGGCAUUUGAGCUAUUCGAUUGGCCAGAGCAGUAGGCACACUUGAUUUAGCCACAGAUCUCCAGGUCCGCCGGGUACUCGGAGUUUGUCGUUUCAGACAAAUUAAAUGGUUGAAAAUGGGAACACUUUGCCUACCAAGUGCAGCAGGGCUUCUGAAUCAGGAGCACCUACCGUCAACAGCGCAACACACAAACAUAACAAAAAUAAAAGGAGCUCAAGCCUUAAUGCCGUUAUCAUUGGAUUUUCGACAGAAAUGUUUGGUGAUUGACUAGGAAUGCCUUGGAGAUCACGAUGAACGGUUGGUGACCACUGGUAUAAAGCAUACCUGACCCAUCCAAGGCAAGAGCACCUCUGGAGCAGGGUUCCAUUCAAAGGUGUGAUAACAUUGGUGGCAUUAAAUGUUGAAGAGGCUCAGAUUAGUACAGAAAGUGUUGUAUGCUGAAGCAGUGAAAAGUGGUAGAGGAAGAUGUGUACAGGGUGAGGGAUCCUGACAGGAUUCCUGUGAAUAGGCAGAUACUAAUAGAGAGUGAUGGGAAGAAUAUGUGCUUCAGUGAGGUGGGUUUCUUAGUAUUCAUACCCAUGGUUGUCAACUGUAGUGCAGAAAUGGAACGUACAGUAAGUCACAGAAAAUGUGAGGUUGUGGUGGCAGAUGCAGAGAAGUAUUUGGGAUUGCAAGGUUUUACUGCUCUUAGUGUUCUGUCCUCCCAGACCGUUAGCCUGGAGUAGGAUUAGAUAGGAUACAUUAGUGGAAUGGGGUGGUUUUUUGUUGUGAGGACUAAUGGUUGGCAGGGUAAUUUUGUAGUACCUGAAUUGAAUGUAGGUAGGCCGUGACUGGCCUCACACUUCAGUACGGUGGCGGUUUAUGCACCUAAAAGUUGGAUGCGGUCAGCAAUCUCAAAGAAGAAAGAAGAAGUGACAACAUUACCACCUGGUGGUAGAUGCAAUAACUGCUAUUUUACAAGUCAAGACAACCAUCUGCUGUUCAAUUCAAGGGGAUUUAUUGGCAUGGGAAACAUAUGUAAACAUUGCCAAAGCAAGUGAAGUAGAUAAUAUACAAAAGUGAAAUAAACAAUACAAAUGAACGGUAACAUUGCACUCACAGAAGUUCCAAAAGAAUAAAGACAUUGCAAACGUCAUACUAUGUAUAUAUACAGUGUUGUAACGAUGUGCAAAUGGUUAAAGUACACAAGGGAAAAUAAAUAAACAUAAAUAUGGGUUGUAUUUACAAUGGUGUUUGUUCUUCACUGGUUGCCCUUUUCUUGUGGCAACAGGUCACAAAUCUUGCUGCUGUGAUGUCACACUGUGGUAUUUCAGCCAGUAGAUAUGGGAGUUUAUCAAAAUCGAGUUUGUUUUCGAAAUCUUUGUGGAUCUGUGGGAAAUAUGUCUCUAAUAUGGUCAGACGCUAAUAUGCUCUCCCUUGCAUCCAGGCAACCCUCCUCAAAGAUUGGUAGUAGGCUGGUUGCUAGUAGGUGAUGUUAGCAAUUAACUAUAGCUAGGUAGCUAGCUUGCUAGAGAUUAAAUGAACAUGAAGUUGUUUUAAGGUGGGUGACUAUGUUGCUGAAUAACUUCUUUGGGUAGAAUACGACUGUAGCACAAAUUAUUAGUUUACAGGGCAAGUGGUCUGUGCGGAGGGUUGCCCGACUAGCUAGCUAGGUAACUAACUCUAGCUAGUAGUUUACCCUAGAGAGGCUAGGGUUACUACACAAAGUGCAGCUUCUACAACAAUAAUAUAUUACCUGUUCCUAUUUGGGUUACCAAUACAGUUUGUAUUGGGUUAUUAGCCCUAGCUAUGCAGUUAUUUCAAUGUCUGAUGAUUUCUUUAUUGUUGCUCUGUUCAAAGAGUAGCUACAUGUAAAGCCAUCCCCAUGGAUGCCUGCUGUCCCUGUCACUGUGCCUCACCAUUACACAGACACACACUGGGAUUUGAUACCAGCAAAUACCCUUCAGGCGCUCCUCAGUGGCUUCCCACCUUUGUGUGUAAAGAGGUCGGCUUCUUCAAUCAUUGCAUCACCUGACUCCACCACCCUCCAAUGCAUUUCCUCCGGCCUGCAGGCCCUUUGACUGACAGGUCACCAUGGAGACAUUUCUGCCAUGGAGUUUGGGACAGGUAGAGUCCUGCUCUGCUCUACCUCUACAGAUUAUGUAAUGUCUGAGAUAUCCAGCGCUGCUACAGGAGAACCAGGGAGGGUGAGGAUCUCUGCUACGUAGCUGUAUGGAAAUGCAGUAUAUUAAAAUAAAACAUUUAAAAAAUACAGCUCAGUUAGUUUGUUUUCAGGUGUUGUUGCGUCAGAUACAGUUAUUGGGACUACAGGGCAAUGUAAUCCAUCUGUCAUUUUGUCCCUGUGAUCAACGAGUGGCUGCAUGCUCAGGGGACAAAGUAUACAUACUCAACUCCAAGUUAGGUACAGGAUGCUGAAUAUGUACUCUUACAGUCAAAUUCAACCCUUAGUGUUUGUGUGAUGUUUUUAUAACUUUUUGUAAGAUGAUGACAAAGGAAUGGACAAUAAAGUUAUCUUCUUUCAUACAUUGUCUGUUUGACUC